rnacentral:rRNA from 1 species
CUUCAAGAUAAGAUUUCCCACCGCAAGGGUAAGACCCCAGAAAGACUAUCUGGUUGAUAGGUCGAAUGUGUAAGUGCAGCAAUGUAUUUAGCUUAUCGAUACUAAUAGGUCGAGGACUUGACCAAUAUU